rnacentral:tRNA from 1 species
GCUUCGUGGUGUAGUGGUCAGCAUACUCGACUCGUAACAGAGAGGUUUGUGGUUCGAUUCCCGACGAAGGCG